CUGUUUGUUUGUAUCCCCCAAAUAGGUAACAAGUCCAUGUGAGGCAUAGUUAAGUCUGUGGGUGCUUCAUUGAGGAGUAGAACCUUGAAAAGACUUCUGCCUUGAUGAACAAAUUCGAACGCCAGUUUAAAAUAUUGGAUAUUCAAACACAACAAAUGGAAGAUAAAAUGAGUAGCUCUACAACCCUAACACCACCACAAAACCAAAUGGAUAUGCUGCUUCAGGAAAUGCCAGAUGAAGCUAGAAAACAAAUCCAUAAAAGAAAGGAAGUGAAAAUUUUGAGUGAUGAAAGUACAGUUGGAUUCUGUGUUACUUCUGAAGCUGAAGAUUUUUGAAAGCACAAUGGGUAAGUUCAGGAUUAUC